ACACUGGUGGCUCAGUGGUAGAAUUCUCACCUUCCAGGAGAGAGAUCUGGGUUCAAUUCCUGGCCAAUGCA
rnacentral:tRNA from 1 species